AUUGAACGCUGGCGGCAUGCUUUACACAUGCAAGUCGAACGGCAGCGCGGGCUUCGGCCUGGCGGCGAGUGGCGAACGGGUGAGUAAUGCAUCGGAACGUGCCCAGUAGUGGGGGAUAGCCCGGCGAAAGCCGGAUUAAUACCGCAUACGACCUGAGGGUGAAAGCGGGGGACCGAAAGGCCUCGCGCUAUUGGAGCGGCCGAUGUCGGAUUAGCUAGUUGGUGGGGUAAAGGCUUACCAAGGCGACGAUCCGUAGCUGGUCUGAGAGGACGACUAGCCACACUGGGACUGAGACACGGCCCAGACUCCUACGGGAGGCAGCAGUGGGGAAUUUUGGACAAUGGGGGCAACCCUGAUCCAGCCAUGCCGCGUGCGGGAAGAAGGCCUUCGGGUUGUAAACCGCUUUUGUUCGGGAAGAAAUCCUCUGGGCUAAUACCCCGGGGGGAUGACGGUACCGGAAGAAUAAGCACCGGCUAACUACGUG
rnacentral:rRNA from 1 species